AAUUAGAAUGUAAACUUCAGGGUGCUUCUUUCUUCUACUUAUAGUUGUGGAUGAAUAGAAGAAAGGUGGACUAUAUCAUCAACUUAUUCCAUUUGUCUAGGAAAGCUAGCCAUGCUUUAUGGUGAAUAUGUGAUUAUGAGUUGUUAAGAAUGUGAAUAAACAGAAUAUAAUCACAGAAAGUGAAUAAAAGAUAUGUAAAUUCUAAAAUGAAAAAGUGACUCACUACAACACUGUAACUGUAGUGAGUCACUAUGCCUAGUAGAAUUCUUAUUUAUUUUGAGGACCACAUGCAAGCAUCUGUGAACACAGCUAUACAUCAUUGGCUACCUAUCCAGCAUGGUCAUCAGCUAAUGUAGCAAAAUUUCUUAC
rnacentral:misc_RNA from 1 species